AAUUAUUAAUUUAUCGAUAAAUUAAUAAAUCCUGACAUUAUUAAUUUAUAGAGGUUUUACUGUAUAUGUAU
rnacentral:sRNA from 1 species